AAAAAAACUAAAUACCCCAUUUUCCUUUCUUUUUUUUUUAUUUCAAACCCUAGGAUCCCCAUCCGACUCUGAUUUAAACAGAAUGGACGAGGAUUCCGGCGGCGCACCAGCAAAGGUACGGUCGUACGGAGGAGCGUGGCGUGGAGGCGCGCGUGUGGGAGGCUACUGUUGCGGCGGUUGGAGGGCAGUGAUGUUAGGGUUUUCUGAUUGAAAAAAAUGUUGUGUUGGGUUAGGGUUAGGUGAUUUGGACCUAGCAUUUAGUUUAUUGGGCCGUGUCGAUUUGCAAUCUGGACACUAUGGUUUUUUGGACUUUUAAUUUUGUUUUUAUAUUGGUUUUAUUUAUUAUCUAUAUCGGGCCGGGCAAUAUUGGGUCAUUACAAUAUCUCUUUAAUCGAAAUCUCCUCCCAUUUCUUUACUGAUUCUCUCUCUCGGUCUCUUUUGAAUUUUUUUCCUGUCAUUUUUUUAGCUUUGGGUAACCAAAGGCCAAAACACACACACGCUAGAAUCUGUUUUUUGUGGUUUUUGAAAUCCACUGCUUCAUUGGAGAUUGAUUUUGAGUGGAUUUAUUUCUCUGUCGUUUCUUUGUUGCGAUUUUUGUAACCCCUGCUUCAUCGGAGGCUGAUUUCAGAAUCCCGUGCAAUCAUAAGGUACUAUGCAGAAAAAUACAAAUCACAAGGGACUAAUCUACUGGGAAAGACAGUAGAGGAAAUGGGUCAAGUGGAAAAUUGGCUAGAGGUUGAGGCACACAAUUUCAACCCACCAAUUUAUGCUUUGACCCUACAUCUGAUGUUUGCUUCCAAGAUGGGGUUCCAUCUUGAUGAAAAUUUGAUCAAGGAAAGCAAGGAAAAGCUAGGCAAAGUUCUGGAUAUUUAUGAGGAGAGGCUGUCAAAGAACAAGUACUUGGCCGGUGAUUUCUUCAGCCUUGCUGACCUGAGCCACCUGCCAUUUACUCAGUACUUUGUGGGUCAAAUGGGAAAGGAAUACAUGAUAACCAACAGGAAGCAUGUGAGUGCUUAGUGGGAUGAUAUUAGCAGCAGACCGUCCUGGCAGAAGGUUCUCCAGCUCUAUGCUCCUCCUUUCUAAAAAUUGAAAAUGAUGCAAUCUGGGGAUGGGAUCUUUUCAAUGAUGUCUGCUUUGUUGUUUAGCAGUUUGGUUUGGUUUGGGGUCUGGUCUUUGUCUGUUUUAAGAGGUCAACUAGUUAUCCUAUGUUAGUUAUAGUUCAAUAAAAUGUUGGUAGGGGUAGAGGGGUUACAGUUAUCGUUGUGUUUGCCUAUGUUUGAUAUUAUGAAUAAAGAUGAAGAAAUCAGGGAGAUAUCAAAGAGAAUCAAGUGCUCAAUUGAAUGUGCUUCAAAGGCAAUGUUUUUCUUUUA